AUGAGGCUGCUCAGGGGACUCCAAGAAGUUGGUGUCCUUGAGCUUCAGACAGCUCAACGCAGCUCACUGUCACGUGCCCACCAAUUCGUCAAUGAGUGGGAGCUUAAGGGCAUGGUGGUGGCCAGCUUCUCCCUGCAACUCUUCCUCCUCUUCUUCUCCGGCUUCCGCAAGCGCUACUCUUCCCGAGUACUCAGUGUGCUGCUGUGGCUCGCCUACCUAUCGGCCGACUCCCUCGCCGUCUACAUCCUCGGCCGCCUCACCCUCCGCGGCGGCAGCGGCAACAACCACCUGGCCCUCUUCUGGGCGCCAUUCCUGCUGCUCCAUCUCGGCGGGCAAGAGACCAUGACAGCCUUCUCCAUGGAGGACAACGCGCUGUGGAAGCGCCACCUUCUCAGCCUCGUCACGCAGGUGCCCAUGGCCACCUACGUCGUCAGCAAGCAGCUCAGAGUAGACAAUGAUGCCGAUCAGUGGCUCGUGGCGCCCAUGGUGCUCGUGUUCGUUGCCGGGACGGGGAAGUACGCCGAAAGGAUUUGGGCACUCCGGAGAGCUGGCUCAGUGGCGCCUGGAACGAGCCGCUCUACCUCAAAACUCGUUUCCCGUGCGUCCAACGAUGCUGUCUGGGACACACAGGGGUUCUACGGUCAGCUGCGCUUUGUGAUUUCCAAGAAGCAGGAGAGGAAUUUCGAGGUCAUCCUAGAUGUGGCAGCUCAGGCCUUCAAACUGAGCCUCCACUUUCUCAUGGACAUGACCCCUUCAAUCUCUCUGCUUCCUGAAGAUGCCAAGGACAUCAAGCAGGCCGUAGAGGUCUUGCAAUCUUCAGAGGACAGAGUCCACAUGGCGUACAAGCUGGCUGAGAUCAACCUCUCCUUGAUCUAUGACUAUUUGUACACAAAGUUUGGCACGCGCCAUUUCCACAUGCUCCCGUUCUGUAACGUCUUCCACCGGAUCGUCGCUCUUGUGCUGCCAUCGGUGGCGCUUGGGUUGUUCGUGAGGGGGAUGACGACCGGUGGUCGAAAGGGGCAUGUCCAUGACACAGAUGACGUCAUCAUAUGUUACAUGCUGCUUGUCGGGGCCGUCGUAUUGGAGACAUGCUCAAUCUUCAUGUCAUUUAUCUCUUCAUGCUGGGCAUACAAGACCAUCAUUUCGUGUUCGCUAACAUGCCCGCUGUGCCGAGAUAUUCCCGGCGCAAUCGCGGGGCUGCUCUGGGUAGCCAGGCGUCUCCAUCCAGGAAACAAAGGAGAGUGGUCGGCGAAAAUGGCACAGUACAACAUGAUCCGAGGAUGCAUCAAGGAGAAACAAGACACUGGCUUGUUGCGGCGGGCCAUGCGUUGGGUUGGUAUCAUCGGUGAGCCCCGGGCCAUCACGCAUACCAGCGUCUCUCCUGAGCUCAAGAAGCUCAUCCUUGAUAAAUUGCUGGACAUAGCAGCCACCCCACGCGUGCAGGAAUGGGACAUUGGAGUUGGCAAGUUCCGUGGCCAGUGGGCGCAAUGGGUGGUUGAGACGAAGCAAGACCGGGCAAAUCAUGAUCAGGUGUUGCAGAUCUGUAACAUCCAAGGUUUGGAGUUCGUGUCGAGUGUGCUUCUCUGGCACGUUGUGACGGACAUAUGCUUGCUCGCCACCGACGAUGUUGCCGUAGACGGCGACGACGAGGAGCGCUUAGAAGACGGCGGUUCAUCCCACCAUGAGGAUGUACAAGGCAGCUUGUCGGAGCUGAGAGGCCCUAUCAGAGAGCUGUCAGACUACGUCAUGUACCUCGUUGCAGAUUGCGGCGCCAUGGCCGGCAGUGAAGGUCAUUACGUGGUGACUAAGGGCCAGAAAGAGGUGUCACGCUGGCUGCUUGAGAAGCACGGAGGAGGAUCUGAUGAUCGUAAGAAGGUGAUCGAGGAGAUUCGUGACGAGGACAGCUCCUUCUUCCACGAAAACUACUACCCCGUGCUGGAUCGAGCUCGCCGGGUCGCCUCGGACCUGCUUCAGGUUGGAGAAGCGGGCGAUCGUUGGGAGCUCAUCUCCGCGGUGUGGUUAGAGAUGCUUUGUUACGUUGCGUACAACUGUGGGGCUGCGUUCCACGCCAAGCAUCUGGCCACCGGUGGCGAGUUUGUCACGCAUAUCAAGAUGCUUCUGUUUAUGGUAGGCGUGCCUUUUCUGAGGGAUGUGAAAGAAUCCUUGUUUCCUGAAGCUGGGAAUAUCUAUUCAUAA
rnacentral:rRNA from 1 species